AGGCAAAAUCAUUAGAAGCUAGUAAAUAAGAGCCAUGUUUAGAUGAGAUUUUGCAAAGGCCGCCCUGGAAAGGCAGGGCAGCGCCAAAAUUCCAGGACUGCCCUUGCAAAAGAAGCUCCGUACUAGAAAUCCGGGAUCAUAUUCUAGUCUGGCUCUGAGCCAUGUGACCUUGGGUGAAUCAAGUCAACACUCUGCACCUGAACUUCUCGCUUUCUAAAAUUGAUUCAACUACCCUGAUCAACUUCUGUACUGUCUAAACUAUCAACGAUACUGAUCAGCCUCAACUAUACCGAUCCCCGACUUGCAACAUCUCUAAGUCAUCGCCUAUCGGGAAACCUGGUGAGAGCUCCCCACUCUCCCACAGUCUGGUUUAGCUUAUAAUCCUCUUGAUUUGCAAUGUGUUGGAGCCAGCUCAGGUCAGCAGGAAAGCUCACAGAAAUGGGAGAUUUGGACAAGACAACACACAUAGGGAGGACACCAUGUGAAGACGAAGGCAGAGAUUGGAGUGAUGUAUCUACAAGCCAAGGAAUACCAGAGAUGGCCAGCAAACCACCCGAAGACAGGGGAGAGGCAUGGAACAGAUUCUCCCUCAUAGCCCUCAAGAGGAAUCAACCUGCCCACACCUUGAUCUUGGACUUCUAACCUCCAGAACUGUGUGAGAAUAAAUGCCUGUUGCUUAA